GCCGAUGUGGCUCAGCUGGUAGAGCAGCUCAUUCGUAAUGAGCAGGUCGUGGGUUCGAGUCCCAUCGUCGGCU
rnacentral:tRNA from 1 species